AGUGAACGCUGGCGGUAGGCCUAACACAUGCAAGUCGAACGGCAGCACAGUAAGAGCUUGCUCUUACGGGUGGCGAGUGGCGGACGGGUGAGGAAUACAUCGGAAUCUACUUUUUCGUGGGGGAUAACGUAGGGAAACUUACGCUAAUACCGCAUACGACCUACGGGUGAAAGCAGGGGAUCUUCGGACCUUGCGCGAUUGAAUGAGCCGAUGUCGGAUUAGCUAGUUGGCGGGGUAAAGGCCCACCAAGGCGACGAUCCGUAGCUGGUCUGAGAGGAUGAUCAGCCACACUGUAACUGAGACACGGUCCAGACUCCUACAGGAGGCAGCAGUGGGGAAUAUUGGACAAAGGGCGCAAGCCUGAUCCAGCCAUACCGCGUGGGUGAAGAAGGCCUUCGGGUUGUAAAGCCCUUUUGUUGGGAAAGAAAAGCAGCAGGUUAAUACCCCGCUGUUCUGACGGUACCCAAAGAAUAAGCACCGGCUAACUUCGUG
rnacentral:rRNA from 1 species